rnacentral:misc_RNA from 1 species
GAUGAAGAACGUAGCGAAAUGCGAUAAGUAAUGUGAAUUGCAGAAUUCAGUGAAUCAUCGAAUCUUUGAACGCACAUUGCGCCCUCUGGUAUUCCGGGGGGCAUGCCUGUUCGAGCGUCAUUAUAACCACUCAAGCUCUCGCUUGGUAUUGGAGUUCGCGAUCUCGCGGCUCCUAAAAUCAGUGGCGGUGCCUGUCGGCUCUACGCGUAGUAAUACUCCUCGCGAUUGAGUCCGGUAGGUUUACUUGCCAGCAACCCCCAAUUUUUACAGGUUGACCUCGGAUCAGGUAGGGAUAACCGCUGAACUUAAGCAUAUCAAUAAGCGGAGGA